AACUACCUUUCACUUCUAGGUGCCCCCAUAUCAGAGAAGUUCCAGAAUAUAAGUUGAGAGAUGUAGUGUAUAGUCAAAGCCAAAUGCUACCAGAUUCUACCUGCAGAGGACUGUAUGCUGCGGGAACAACUGGGUAGAGGGUGGGCCAGGGGAUGUGAGACAAGACACGGUCUAAAUGAAAUAACUACAAAUUGUAAUAUGGAAUGUAUGUAACAUGGAAUGUGAAUUGUAUGGGGAUACUUUCCCUGGGUAUUAAAAAAAAAAAAAGUAAGCAUUGUGGCUGAAUUUUUCCCAGGCCAAAAAAAAUAUGUAUAAUUUAUUUGUUUUGAUACAGAAUGUAUACGAGGAAAUGAAAUGAGCAUAGACCUGGGCAGGAUUCCUUCCGCCCGAUGUCCUGACUUGUCUUUGCAGCCCAGCUUCUUGAUAGCCCUGCAUAACUACCUUCAGUCCCAGUUGUUGGUCUCCGAGAAUGCAGCCAAGCAAAGUAGAUACCUCAUGAGGGCGUAGAAGCAAGUUUACAGGUAAAAUACCUGCUUUUCCUGAGCUGUACAACCUACAGUUCAACCUGUACCACCACCUGUGAUCUGUUCUUUGGCGGUAGGUUGGGUGCCAGGUUCUUCACCUUCGUACAUUACAACUCCCCUGGGUCAAUACUGAGAUGGAUCAAGAAAGGAUAUAAUAAGGAAACUGACCUUUAUGAAGGCAGUAUUUUAUACCCAUUUUUUUUACUGAAUGGAAAAAAAAUGGAGCUUUAAAGAUGUUAAGCUCCAUUCCACAUUCCAAUAUUUCUAAGAAGUAUAUUUUAUCACCUUUUCACAUCCCUGAAAUCACAAUAUGCUUACUGCUAAUGGAAAACAGAGAUUAUUUGACUGACUUUUCCCUUUCUAAAUGGUACAUACAAUAAGAAUGUCAUAGCCCAUAGUAUCUCAGAUUCGAUAAGUAGCUAAUAAAUGAUGAUCCUAGAAUUUAUCCUCUGGGUUGGGUGAUUUAAAACCUUAGGUUAUUUUCUGGCUGCAAUAAUAUUCCCCUAAAAUACACAAGCAGUUAAGGCACCAUACAUUUCCUGUUCUUUCCCCACCUCAUUUCAUUUAUUGUCGUUCAGUUUAGCGUUUGGUCUUGCUUGGAUCCAUCUGUAUAGAAUUAUGCUCCCCAGGAGCCAAAUUCCUUCUUUCCUUGUGAACUGGAGGCUGCUUAAUGUGUUCUGUGAGGUAGACAGAGGAAACAUGUUUGUUAUCACAAGUUGAACUAACGGUGAUUGAAUGUUCCUGCAGCUGGGUCUUGUUAGAAGUUAAAAACUUGGGCUGUCACAUUACUUUAUGUAAACCCUACUUAAGUGGAAUGUGAGGGAAAAGACUUGGGAACUUUUUUUAUUGCUCAAGACUAUUCUUUGUUGCAAUUGAGAAAUGUGGGAAAUAACUGAAGUGAUUAAUAUUACGGAUGGUUUCUCAAGCCGUACUUUGAAAUUGUUUUCAAUUAAAUAAAUCUUAAGUGUCUGCUUUGUGCAAACCAUGAACUAAUUGCUUCAGGGGAUAAGAUAUGCCCCCUGCCAUCAAGAAUCUACAUGAUCUGAAAAGGGAACCGCUGAGUGCAUGCCGCUGAAUGACUAAAGGAUGGGGGAGUAAGAGAGGGUCAGAGAGAUGAUACGGGGUUUUGAAGGAGGAAGAAAUCACAUGUGUAUAAGGCGAUCAAGAAGAGCAUUGCAGAAGCAAAUAGCAGAGCUUUGAAAACUUGGGUAAAAUUUUUCUCAAGUAAGUAUGGGAGCGUGACUUCCAGUUUCCAACAAUAGCAGGUUAUUUGGAUCCUGUCCUGCAAAAAUAAAUAAAUAAAUAAAUAAAUAAAUAAAAUAAAAUAAAUAAAAAUAGUAAAUAAAACAUUAAGAAAUCUUUCAAUAAUUGAGUAAAAAAUGAAUUGCUAGGUUAAAAUUCGAAGAACAUCUGGAAAUCAGGUAAAUGA
rnacentral:lncRNA from 1 species